UGCAGUAGACGCUGAAGUCUGGUGCUUGCACUAGACGGAUGAGUUGCGAACGGGUGAGUAACGCGUAGGUAACCUGCCUCAUAGCGGGGGAUAACUAUUGGAAACGAUAGCUAAUACCGCAUAACAGUAUUUACCGCAUGGUAGAUACUUGAAAGGAGCAAUUGCUUCACUAUGAGAUGGACCUGCGUUGUAUUAGCUAGUUGGUGAGGUAACGGCUCACCAAGGCAUCGAUACAUAGCCGACCUGAGAGGGUGAUCGGCCACACUGGGACUGAGACACGGCCCAGACUCCUACGGGAGGCAGCAGUAGGGAAUCUUCGGCAAUGGGGGCAACCCUGACCGAGCAACGCCGCGUGAGUGAAGAAGGUUUUCGGAUCGUAAAGCUCUGUUGUAAGAGAAGAACUGUGAGAAGAGUGGAAAGUUUCUCACUUGACGGUAUCUUACCAGAAAGGGACGGCUAACUACGUGCCAGCAGCCGCGGUAAUACGUAGGUCCCGAGCGUUGUCCGGAUUUAUUGGGCGUAAAGCGAGCGCAGGCGGUUUGAUAAGUCUGAAGUAAAAGGCUGUGGCUUAACCAUAGUACGCUUUGGAAACUGUCAAACUUGAGUGCAGAAGGGGAGAGUGGAAUUCCAUGUGUAGCGGUGAAAUGCGUAGAUAUAUGGAGGAACACCGGUGGCGAAAGCGGCUCUCUGGUCUGUAACUGACGCUGAGGCUCGAAAGCGUGGGGAGCGAACAGGAUU
rnacentral:rRNA from 1 species